AUGGAUCACGGACUUAAGAUCGCUGUUUGGAACGUUCACGGACUCAACUCGCGCGCCCGGCGCACUGCCAUUCGCUCUUUGUUGGGUACUACCGGCGCCUCUACUGUAUGCCUACAGGAAACUAAAAUGGCUUUGAUCUACUCGUCCAUCGUGCUUGACAUCCUCGGCUCCGAGUUCGACGACUACACGUACCUCCCGGCUGAUGGCACACGAGGCGGCAUCCUCCUCGCCUGGAAGAGCAGGGCUGUCUCGGUCUACGGACCCCCUGCUCACCCAGAACGCGCUCACGACGAAAGUGUCCGUGGCUUCCGGGACGCCGUGGUGGCUGACGACGGUCUAUGGACCACAGGACGACGCUGA
rnacentral:rRNA from 1 species